rnacentral:pre_miRNA from 1 species
GAGAUACCCCUAUGGAGCAGGUCUAGCUUCAGAGGGGCUUUGGUGCUCACUGAGUCUGCUCCUUGAGUGUAUGGCU